UCCACAGUAGCUCAGUGGUAGAGCUAUCGGCUGUUAACCGAUCGGUCGUAGGUUCCUACCUGUGGAGCCA
rnacentral:tRNA from 1 species